GAAGCUGUGUCCCAUCCACCCGAGCCAGUGGGUUCUGAUGACCCUGAACUGCUAAGCUCUGAGCCGGAGGGGGACUCACUUCAGGUUACAUGCAUUGGACUCCAGGAGCCUGUGUCCCAUCCAUCUGAGACAGUGUGUUUGGAUGGGCCUGAACCACUGUGCUCAGAGUUGGAGCAGGACUGUCUUCAGGAUGUCCAGGACUGUGAUGUCAUCAUCACAGGUGUUCAGCGGGGGUUGGCCUGUCCAGCUUCACUGAGCAGGGUGGAGGUACUAAGGGCCACAGUUCUCUCGCCAUGUUGUUGGCUGGAUGAUGUUUCCAUUGACCACUCUCAGGCUCUCUUACAGGCACAACAUCCC